GUCAACAUGUACUGCUGGGAGACUCUUAAUCCUUGGAACAUUAAUAUUACACUGGAUGUGACCAUUGCAUGUCAAGACAUACCAUAAACCUGGUGUGAUACUCGUCACUGCAACCAAAAGACACAAGAGCAUGCUUUCCUACUGAAUUUUGCAAGAAGGAAAACAGACUCCCUCCUGCUGAUGUGAGGAAGCAAUGCUAAAUCUCCCUAAAGAUUCACUCUGGCUUCUUACAGCUUGACUGUUCCUGGAGCACUUGAGGAAACAUGUUUUGCUUUGGGAAAUAAAAGGGAAAAAAAAAAUCCUCUGUCCUAACCAAUUAAGACAUCACAGAAAGAAGUCAUGAGCUC